UGGGGAAUAUUAGACAAUGGGGGCAACCCUGAUCCAGCCAUGCCGCGUGAGUGAUGAAGGCCUUCGGGUUGUAAAGCUCUUUUGGCGGGGACGAUGAUGACGGUACCCGCAGAAUAAGCCCCGGCUAACUUCGUGCCAGCAGCCGCGGUAAGACGAAGGGGGCUAGCGUUGUUCGGAAUUACUGGGCGUAAAGCGAGUGUAGGCGGUUGCCGUAGUCAGGUGUGAAAGCCUUGAGCUCAACUCAAGAAAUGCACUUGAUACUGGGUGACUAGAGGACCGGAGAGGAUAGUGGAAUUCCCAGUGUAGUGGUGAAAUACGUAGAGAUUGGGAAGAACACCAGUGGCGAAGGCGGCUAUCUGGACGGUUACUGACGCUAAGACUCGAAAGCGUGGGGAGCAAACAGGAUUAGAUACCCUGGUAGUCCACGCCGUAAACGAUGGGUGCUAGACGUUGGCGAGCUUGCUCGUCAGUGUCGCAGCUAACGCGUUAAGCACCCCGCCUGGGGAGUACGGCCGCAAGGUUGAAACUCAAAUGAA
rnacentral:rRNA from 1 species